rnacentral:rRNA from 1 species
GAGUUUGAUCCUGGCUCAGGAUGAACGCUGGCGGCGUGCUUAACACAUGCAAGUCGAACGAAGCACUUUAUUUGAUUUCCUUCGGGAUUGAUUAUUUUGUGACUGAGUGGCGGACGGGUGAGUAACGCGUGGGUAACCUGCCUUGUACAGGGGGAUAACAGUUGGAAGCGGCUGCUAAUACCGCAUAAGACCACAGCACCGCAUGGUGCAGGGGUAAAAACUCCGGUGGUACAGGAUGGACCCGCGUCUGAUUAGCUGGUUGGUGAGGUAACGGCUCACCAAGGCGACGAUCAGUAGCCGGCUUGAGAGAGUGAACGGCCACAUUGGGACUGAGACACGGCCCAAACUCCUACGGGAGGCAGCAGUGGGGAAUAUUGCACAAUGGGGGAAACCCUGAUGCAGCGACGCCGCGUGAGUGAAGAAGUAUCUCGGUAUGUAAAGCUCUAUCAGCAGGGAAGAAAAUGACGGUACCUGACUAAGAAGCCCCGGCUAACUACGUGCCAGCCGCCGCGGUAAUAC